CUACCAUGGCAGUCACGGGUAACGGAGAAUUAGGGUUCGAUUCCGGAGAGGGAGCCUGAGAAACGGCUACCACAUCUAUGGAAGGCAGCAGGCGCGUAAAUUACCCAAUCCUGAUUCAGGGAGGUAGUGACAAGAAAUAACAACCUAUGUGAUUUAUUACUGUGGAUUGUAAUGAGUUCAAUUUAAAACACUGAACGAGGAACAAUUGGAGGGCAAGUCUGGUGCCAGCAGCCGCGGUAAUUCCAGCUCCAAUAGCGUAUAUUAAAGUUGUUGCAGUUAAAAAGCUCGUAGUUGAAUUUCUAGGCAGGUUUAAUUUGGACUUUGUUCGGUUAUAUCUGUCUAUCCGACAUUGAACUAUACUGGGUAUUAAGUUAUCCAUAUAGCGAACUGUCAUUUUACUUUGAAAAAAUUAGAGUGUUUCAGGCAGGCAAUUGCCCGAAUAUCUUAGCAUGGAAUAAUGGAAUAGGACUUUGGUUCAUCUGAUUGGUUAUUGAAUCAGAGUAAUGAUUAAUAGGGACAGUUGGGGGCAUUAGUAUUUAAUUGUCAGAGGUGAAAUUCUUGGAUUUAUUAAAGACUAACUUAUGCGAAAGCAUUUGCCAAGGAUGUUUUCAUUAAUCAA
rnacentral:rRNA from 1 species